UCUUCCUCCUGACCUGUUCAGAGCUAAUGCACUGUGGGAACCCUUCCCAGGGCUUGCCACCUGCCUGUGGGGCUGGGGGAGGGGAUUUAGGACUGAUGCAGAGCCUCUGAGGGCUUUGGCUCAAAGGGACAGGCCUAUAAGUCAUAUUUGAUCUCUCUCCACUUCCUGUCCAGAGCAGGUCUUAGCUGCAGCACAGGGGAUCUUCAAUGUUCAGUUGUGGCAUGUGGAGUGAGUUUCCUGACCAGGAACUGAACCGGGACCCUUGUACUGGGAGCACAGAGUUUUAGCCACUGGAUCACCAGGGAAAUCCUGAAAUGUUUGAUUUUUAAAUGUUGGCAAUAAAUUUACUAAAAAACAACAACCCCAAACCAAUCAAUUAAUCAACCAACCAAGACAACAGAACAAAACAAAAACAGUGAAUCUAUUGUAGGUGCCAGAGACUGACACAGUCUUUGCCUAUUCACAGGGUGCCUGGGUUUGAUCCUGGUCAGGGGAACUAGAUACCUCAGGCUGCGAAGAGUUUGAAUGCCACAACUAAAGAUCCUGCGGGCUGCAACUAAGACCUGGAGCAUCCAGAUAAAAACAGUCCCUGUGGCAGGCGUGGAGAUGCAGAUACUGUUCAGAUCCUUCCUCUAGAAAGGACUCACUUUUGCUGUGGGGAGUAUGAUUAGCAGUCACCAGCUGGCAGUCACUCCUUGCGAGCAUGGCCUCAGCCAGUGCCUGGACAGGACGGUGACGCGACGACCUUGCCACUUCUGUGCCUAACACGGGGUUCCUCUAAGGGGCUCUUUGCUUUGGAGCUUCCUGUAGGUCUGGCGUUUGUCAGAUCUGCAUCUCAGUGUCUCACAGCUCCUCCUUCUUGAUCCUGCUUCCUCCCCUUUCUGUCAUGAAUGUUACUCUGACUAAAUCCUCUGGACUCCUAAUUCCAUCGGGUAUCUGCUUUGUUGGGUACUCACAGUUUCUUUCCUUCAUAAUCUUUGCAGUGCAAGACCCCACUCCCAACACACAGCGGGUGUUCUCCCAGAGAAUCUGUCCUUCCCCCACUGUCUGAGCAGCAGGGCACUCUGAAGCAAGAAUCCUCUGUAACUGUGGUUCCUGCCAGUCUGAAUUUUUCUAUGAGGGACUGAGGAGAAAACAGCAGGGUGGGCUUUGGCUAUAUCAGGCCAGCACAAUAGUGCAAGGCCAGCCCUGGA
ensembl:lncRNA